rnacentral:rRNA from 1 species
UAGAAUUGACGGGACCGCACAAGCGUGGAUGAUGUGUUAAUUCGAUGCAACGCGAAAACCUUACCACCUUUGACAUGGCAGGAAUCCUGAAGAGAUUUGGGAGUGCUCGAAAGAGAACCUGCACACAGGUGCUGCAUGGCUGUCGUCAGCUCGUGUCGUGAGAUGUUGGGUUAAGUCCCGCAACGAGCGCAACCCUUGCCAUUAGUUGCUACGAAAGGGCACUCUAAUGGGACUGCCGGUGACAAACCGGAGGAAGGUGGGGAUGACGUCAAGUCCUCAUGGCCCUUAUAGGUGGGGCUACACACGUCAUACAAUGGCCGGUACAGAGGGUAGCCAACCCGCGAGGGGAGCCAAUCCCAAAAAGCCGCUCUCAGUUCGGAUUGCAGGCUGCAACUCGCCUGCAUGAAGCCGGAAUCGCUAGUAAUCGCGGAUCAGCAUGCCGCGGUGAGUACGUUCCCGGGCCUU